rnacentral:misc_RNA from 1 species
GUUGGGUGCCAUAUAUUUUACUCUUUUCCGCCAAUUUUUAUACUUUUUCACAGGUUUAUAAAUUCUUUUUCCAUUAUGGUAUUGGAAGUGCUUUCUAUGAUGAGAUUCUCAUUUACAAUAGAUGCGGAAUGUCUACAAAUAUGUUUCGAUUUUGUUAGAUUUUAACACUAACAGAAUUAGUUUCUCCAUCUAUUUUCAUGGCUCACUUUUGGGAGCUGGCCAGGCCAAAAGUAGUUAACUUGUCAUGAUUUAUCACUCCAGUUUAGAUGAAGUUGGAUAUGCAGAACAUUAUACGACAUCAUGUAUUAACCUAUGUUUUUGGCCUUUUGGCCUUAAUCAUCUUGUAUGAGGUUGAUUAACAACACUUUUCUAGCGAUCUUGUGAAUUAAUCGGCAUAUUUAUAUCUAAUAAUAGCUGCUUUUACUCAUCUUGCCAUGAUCCACAACUGCAUUGCAAUGGAUCCCUGUGAUCUGCACCCAGGAUAGAAGAACUUUGUUAUGGAAAAGUUUAAGCCUUUAAGGAUGUAGUUGUAGUCUUAUUGAAUUUUGAAAAUAGCCUUAUCUGACUUGAAAU